rnacentral:rRNA from 1 species
AGUGAACGCUGGCGGUAGGCCUAACACAUGCAAGUCGAACGGCAGCACAGUAAGAGCUUGCUCUUACGGGUGGCGAGUGGCGGACGGGUGAGGAAUACAUCGGAAUCUACUUUUUCGUGGGGGAUAACGUAGGGAAACUUACGCUAAUACCGCAUACGACCUACGGGUGAAAGCAGGGGAUCUUCGGUCCUUGCGCGAUGGAAUGAGCCGAUGCCGGAUUAGCUAGUUGGCGGGGUAAAGGCCCACCAAGGCGACGAUCCGUAGCUGGUCUGAGAGGAUGAUCAGCCACACUGGAACUGAGACACGGUCCAGACUCCUACGGGGGGCAGCAGUGGGGAAUAUUGGACAAUAGGCGCAAGCCUGAUCCAGCCAUACCGCGUGGGUGAAGAAGGCCUUCGGGUUGUAAAGCCCUUUUGUUGGGAAAGAAAAGCAGCAGGUUAAUACCACGCUGUUCUGACGGUACCCAAAGAAUAAGCACCGGCUAACUUCGUG